GACGGAGGAUGCAAGCGUUAUCCGGAAUGAUUGGGCGUAAAGCGUCCGCAGGUGGCAGUUCAAGUCUGCUGUCAAAGACCGGGGCUUAACUUCGGAAAGGCAGUGGAAACUGAACAGCUAGAGUAUGGUAGGGGCAGAGGGAAUUCCUGGUGUAGCGGUGAAAUGCGUAGAGAUCAGGAAGAACAUCGGUGGCGAAAGCGCUCUGCUGGACCAUAACUGACACUCAGGGACGAAAGCUAGGGGAGCGAAUGGG
rnacentral:rRNA from 1 species